rnacentral:lncRNA from 1 species
CCUGAUCAACGAGCUGUAAUCUAAACAGAAGGGUCUUUUAACAUAAGAUUGAACAAACUCUGCAGAUCACUGAAUCAGAAAAAAGGAAAAAAACUGGGUUAGAUCAUUCACAAUACUAGACCAACAAGUAGUUGCUUAAUCCAGAAGCAACAAGUCAAAUUUAAGGAUACAUUAAAAAUCACAGCUUGAUCAAUAAAACAUUAGAAAGCCAUAAAAGGGUUGACUGAGAGUCAACAAAAACUCGAACUGAAUUAAAAAACUAACAUGAUCAUGGAAUAAAUUCAUGUUUUUGAGAAUAAGAAAUUACCAAGAAAAGGAGAACAAAAAUGGGAUUACCAGCCGCAAAAUUGAACAAUUACUCUGAUUUUUCUAUUAGUUUAUGUUUUUUCUGUAUCAACCCAUUAUGCAGUUAGAUCUCUCUCAAAUAUCUCUGGAAUUUCUUUGGCUUUUUGAUACGCUUCGCUGGGAUACUUACUGUAUGAGCUAAAGUGUCCAAUAGUAGUAGGGAAGAGGAGAAAAGCAGGGGCAA